AGAAAGUUAAAAAUUCUCAAUGUGUCCUAUGACAGACACCCUUACUACCUAAUUCAACCAGCCUCCCCUUAGCUCUCUGUGUUCCAACCUCCACUGGAUUUCUUUCAUUUCCUAAUUGUGCCUGGUGAUCUCUUGAUAUUGUGACUUGAACAUGCUCUCCCUUAUUCCUGGGAAACUGUUCUCCCCCCUCCACCUUGUGUAAGCCAUCUUUAUGUCUUAGACAUCCUUCAGAUCUCAAUUUAGUUGUCCCUUCCUUGGGGAAGCCUUUCCUGAGACCCCUCCCCUAAAGUUAGAGCACCUAUGAUUUCUUUCAAUAGCAUCCUGUGCUCCUUUGGAAC
rnacentral:lncRNA from 1 species